rnacentral:lncRNA from 1 species
UGAACACCAAAGGCCGAGUUGUACAUUGCAAAAGAUAAGUUUCCCUACUUAUAAGUAGGGAAGAGUGAAUAUGGAUUUCAUCAUAGGGUUGACUCGUACAAGACUUCGAUAUGAUUCAAUUUGGGUCAUAGUAGAUCAAAUGACUAAAUCAAUCUACUUCCUACCUGUCAAGACUUCAGAUACAGCGAAAUAUUAUGCAAGAAUAUAUAUUCAUGAGUUAGUAAGACUUUAUUAGAUUGAAUAAUGUAAAGAAGGAAUAAUGAGAGUUAGAUAAAGAAGUGCAUAGGGUGGCCCGUCUAGGGGUAUGUUUGCUCGACACUAAUGAUGGGAAAGUAGUGGUAAAUAAUGGUUCAGAAUCAUUUUUGGUAGUGGAAGUAAAUCAAAAACAUCAAAAUUAUCCCAUACUUAGCCAAAUAUUAGAAGUAGUCCAGCAACAAAAAGUUGAGGUUUUCUCCCAGGGAGGAUAUGGUGUACUUUGCUAUCAAGGUAGGCAUUGUGUUUCGAAUUUAGAUGGGUUGAGGGAAAGGAUGCUAGCCGAGGCUCAUGGUUUGAGGUAUUACAUUCAUGCAGGUGCUACUAAGAUAUAUGAUGAGUUACGAGAAAUUUAUAGGUGGAAUAGUAUUAAAAAGGACAUUGCAGAGUUUGUAGCCAAGUGUCCCAAUUGCCAGUAAGUUAAGGUUGAACACCAAAGGUCGAGUUGUACAUUGCAAAAGAUAAUUUUCCCUACUUAUAAGUAGGGAAGAGUGAAUAUGGAUUUCAUCAUAGGGUUGACUCGUACAAGACUUCAAUAUGAUUCAAUUUGGGUCAUAGUAGAUCAAAUGACUAAAUCAAUCUACUUCCUACCUGUCAAGACUUCAGAUACAGCGAAAUAUUAUGCAAGAAUAUAUAUUCAUGAGUUAGUAAGACUUUAUGGUAUACCUUUAUCCAUUAUUUUAGACAAAGGCACGCAGUUUACUUCAUAGUUUUGGCAGUCUCUUUAGAAGGGCCUUGGAUAAAGGUUAAGCUUAGUACUACUUUUCAUC